rnacentral:rRNA from 1 species
CCUACGGGAGGCAGCAGUAGGGAAUAUUGCUCAAUGGGGGAAACCCUGAAGCAGCAACGCCGCGUGGAGGAUGAAGGUUUUAGGAUUGUAAACUCCUUUUGUUAGAGAAGAUAAUGACGGUAUCUAACGAAUAAGCACCGGCUAACUCCGUGCCAGCAGCCGCGGUAAUACGGGGGGUGCAAGCGUUAUCCGGAAUCACUGGGCGUAAAGGGUGCGUAGGCGGGUUUGUAAGUCAGGUGUGAAAUCCUGUAGCUUAACUUCAGAACUGCAUUUGAAACUGUGGGUCUGGAGUGUGGGAGAGGUACGUGGAAUUCUUGGUGUAGGGGUAAAAUCCGUAGAGAUCAAGAGGAAUACUCAUUGCGAAGGCGACCUACUGGAACAUUACUGACGCUGAUGCACGAAAGCGUGGGGAGCAAACAGGAUUAGAUACCCGAGUAGUC